rnacentral:rRNA from 1 species
UGGCGGCGCGUCUUAAGCAUGCAAGUCGAACGGCAAGAGGUAGCAAUACCUCCUAGAGUGGCGGACUGGUGAGUAACACGGUGGGUGACAUACCCUUCAGAUGGGGAUAGCUAUUAGAAAUAGUAGAUAAUACCGAAUACGAGCACAGGGGUUAGAGAUCUGUGAGGAAAGGAGCUAAGGCUCCGCUGAAGGAAUGGCCUGCGGCCCAUUAGCUAGUUGGUGAGGUAAGAGCCCACCAAGGCGAUGAUGGGUAUCCGGCCUUAGAGGGUGAACGGACACAUUGGGACUGAGAUACGGCCCAGACUCCUACGGGAGGCAGCAGCUAAGAAUAUUCCGCAAUGGACGAAAGUCUGACGGAGCGACGCCGCGUGGAUGAAGAAGGCCGGAAGGUUGUAAAAUCCUUUUGAAACUGAAGAAUAAGCGUUGUAGGGAAUGACAGCGUGGUGACAGUAGGUUUUGAAUAAGCAACGGCUAAUUACGUGCCAGCAGCGGC